rnacentral:rRNA from 1 species
UAAUUGAAGAGUUUGAUCAUGGCUCAGAUUGAACGCUGGCGGUAGGCUUAACACAUGCAAGUCGUGCGAGAAAGUAUCUUCGGAUAUGAGUAGAGCGGCGGACGGGUGAGUAACGCGUAGGAAUCUACCUAGUAGAAGGGGAUAGCCCGGGGAAACCCGGAUUAAUACCGUAUACCUCCUUCGGGAGAAAGAAGGCCUCUCUUUGAAGCUUUCGCUAUUAGAUGAGCCUGCGUAAGAUUAGCUUGUUGGUGAGGUAAAGGCUCACCAAGGCGACGAUCUUUAGCUGGUCUGAGAGGACGAUCAGCCACAUUGGGACUGAGACACGGCCCAGACUCCUACGGGAGGCAGCAGUGGG